UGCACAUACACACCCCACACACACGUACCAUGCACACACAUAUACACACACCACAUAUAUACAUGUCACACACAUACCAUGCACAUACAUACACACACCACACACAUACACACAUCACACACACACCAUGGACAUACACACACACCACACAAGCACCGUGCACACAAAUAUACACAAACCACAUACACACGUGACACACAUACACACAUGCAACAUGCACACACACCACAAACACAUGCACCAUGCACACACAUACACACCACAAACAUACAUACACACGCAUGCACCAUGCACACACAUAUACACACCACGCACAUACAUGCAUCAUGCACGGACACACCCCACACAUAUACACAUGCACCAUGCACAUACACACCACACACACACGCACCAUGCACACACAUAUACAGCCACCACAUACAUACAUAUGUCACACACACAUACACAGGCACAGUGCACAUACAUACACACCACACACAUACACACAGCACACACACAUACACACAUGCACCAUGCACAUACACACAUACACAUCACAACACACACACCACAAACACACCACACACAUCACACACAUACACAGCACACAUACAUACACACAUACACACACAUACCAUGCACACACAUAUACACACAUACCACACACACGGGCACCAUGAAUGUACACACACACCACAAACACACAUAUGUGCACCAUGCACAUACAUAUACACACACCACACACAAAGGCACCAUGUACAUACACACCACAAACAUACAUACACACACACACCAUACACAUACACACAACACACACAUACCACAAACACACAACAUGCACACAACACACACAUACACACCAUAAACACACACAAUGCACACACCACAAACACGCAUACAUACACACUUUUACACACACACACCAUACAUACACCCACACCACACACAACAUACACACACCACAAACACAUACACACACGCACACCACACAUAUACACCACACAUAUACACAUAUACCACACACACAUGCACCAUGCACACACAUACAGACAACAUACACAUACACAUCACAGAUAUGCACCAUGCUCACAAAUGCACAUACACACCACACAUACAACGUACACACAGGCACCACGCACAUACACACACACCAUGCAUACACACAUAUACCCACAUAUACACCACAUACACAUACACACACUAAACACAUACACAUGCACACACACGUACACAUACACACGUAUACACAUACACAUGCACACGCAUACACACACAAUGUAAAUAUGCCCGUGGACCCAGGGUCCAACUGAGUGAACUCCCACAAUUUGAGCAACACCUCAUUCUACAUCCUAACCCAAAGUGUG
rnacentral:lncRNA from 1 species